AUGGGGCGGCACCGCCGACUUCUUCUCAUCACCGGUCGCCGCGGAAUGGAAAUAAGGGGCUGGGUUGUCGCCGCGCGCUGUUCCUGCGGGUUGUCGCUGCGGGGGUCGGCUGCGCCCUCCUCCCGCCCGCGGAGGAUGACGAGGGCGAGGACACGGAGGCCAGCGAGGAGGGAGGGGGUGGAGGGGUGCGCCCGGUGGCCAUCCGGUGUGGGCGGCCUCCCACUACGAUCUCACGCGCCGGGCGCGCCGGGCGCGCGCGCUGGCGUAGCCCUCGGUCACCCGCUGCGUCCACGCCGAGAUGCCCUCCAUCCUCACCUUCCAGCGGGGCGCACCGAGACGGCGCUCGACCUGGCCAAGUUCGUCGACAAGGGCGUCCAGGUCAAGCUCACCGGCGGCGGGCAAGGCACGCCCCGAUGCUCCCCUCGCUUUGGGCACCCGAUGCCAGGCAGGCUGUGGAUGCCCCGAACCUCAAGGCCGGCCGUGCUACUCCAGCUGCUCCUGCCCCAGCCGUGCUCAACUUUGCUCCUGGUCAGUUGCCGCAGGCUGUUGCUGCUGUGA
rnacentral:rRNA from 1 species